rnacentral:lncRNA from 1 species
CUGGGGUCCCAAGGGCAGUCCAGACAACCUGAACCUGUGACACUCACCCUGCCCACACACUCUCAGAGCUGCAGCUUUCACGGGGGUGACAUGAAUGCUUGUAAAUGAGCUUGCUGAAUGGGAGACCAAGAACGAUGAUAUUGAGCUGUUACUACAUGCCAGACAUUUAACCCUUUCAUCCAGGUUAUCUCAAUCAUUCCUUACAGAAAGGCUUUUGAGAUGUCCUUGCAACUGGAGGUGCCAUAUGAUACAGUUCUGCCCAAAGACAAGAAAGUGAAUGUCUGUUGAGGGCUUCCUAUAAGGCCAAUACAUACAGGUGUUCCCAACAACAGGUGUCAUCAUUGAUCUUUCUUGGGUCUCACUGCUGAAGAAUGGGGCUGUAAGAUGAUUUCAACAAACAAUCCUUGACAGGAAACCAAAGGCAACAAGGCACAGGGACAGACAGCUGACAAAUGCAGUAUGGGGCCAUUAAAGCAUGUGAUGAAUUUGCCAGGAAAGUAUAUAUUUGUGCAAGAGGUGAGCUCAUAUCUCCCAUAAAUUUGUCAGCCGUGACACAGUGUUCUCCGGCUUGGCAUGAGUAAUGCCUUGCUAUUUGCGCCUUUGUCUGGCAAAAGCUCUAUCAGUCACUCCAGGGUUAUUUACAAAGAAACGUGUCUAUCAGUUACAAGGACAUGACUUUGCUGCUAAAAGAUAACAAAAGAAGAAAUCAGGCAGUGGCCUCUCAGCGAGGGAUGCGUCUUUUCCAGACAAGCUCUGGACUGGAAUGAAUCAGAUGGACGGCAAUUGGCCGGGCUGGCCCAGUGCCUGGCAUGACCAGCCUUAGUGCAUUUAUCCACACUGAUUAGAUUAGAAAUUAUUAAUAGGGGGCUACGGAGUAGAGCAAAAGGUCAUUUAGAGUUUAAUUCUGUUCUCAGAUAACUUCAUUUCGGCUGAUGGGAUUGUUAUUGUAGGGGUUUUAUAUGUUUAUAGGAAACAAUAUACUCAAUAAUGAAGUCCUGCCUCCUUCUGCAAGGUCAGGAAAGCUAUUGUGUAGCUAGAUUGAAGUCUUCACAAUUGUGUUAAUUAAGUAACAGUGAUUGGACUUGGUCUUCUCUUGAAAUGCAUUUAAGAGCCUAAAAGCUGCUGAGAAUGUAUUCUUUCAAUAUAAAUAUAUAGUAAAGCAAGUGAGACCAGAAAGCAGCUGACGAUUGAGUAAACAGAAGAGCUGACAUGAAGCUUUUACUUAAGACAGGAGCCUGGUUGGCAGAUGUAACUUCUUGCCACAUAAAUACAAAUGUCUUGUCAGUUUAUGAUUAAACAUAACAGGUCCCUUUUUCUUACUCAAUUCCUGAUGAAUCUGAAAGAUAAAGCUGUAGAAAGUAUAGUUGAUGGUCUCAUCAGUUACUUUGUUGCCUUGCAGGCCUGCCCAUUUGAGGCAGAUGAUCAGAGUACGGUAAGAGGCAUGUCCUUCUCAGAUUAAAGGGCCAUAGCCUUGGUCUUGGCUCAUAGUCCAGGGUCAUUCUGGAGAGGGAACCCAGCUUUGUCCCCUCCUUUGGAGGGCUUAUAACUCAGAUAUUAACAUUUGCUGAAGAUGGUUGUAAUUUUUUUUGUUCUGAGGUACAAGAUCUCUUCUAAAUAGCUAAAAAAGAAUUUAGUUGAUUCUAAGUGAAAAGUGAGUUCAUGGAAAGCACUUUGUUGCCAUGUGUUUCUUAAAGACCACAGAAGACUUUUGGGCUCCAGUUAAGCAAGUCCCCUUCGAUUUGGCUCCAGAUGCAGUGAUACCCCACGAAGGGGAAGUUUAAAGUGAAACUUGGCAACUGGUGAUUGAGUCUUAUCUUCCCAACUCUCCUCCAACGCCCCCACCCACACAUAUAAGAGAACCACCAUCCAAAGACAGAACUUAGGAGAGUUGUUGAAUUGAAAUGAUAGUUUCAUUGAUGUAAGUUUUGUAAAAUACCUUUAAGGCAGAGAUUCUCAAAUGGAAGUGAUUUUGUCCCCCAAGGGACAUUUGACAAUGUCUGGAGACAUUGGGGUUGUAACAACUAGGAGUGGAUGAUUGCUACCGGCAUCUAGUGAGUGGAGCCAGAGAUGCUGGUAAACAUUCUGAAAUACCUGCCCCCUACAUAGAACAAACAGUCAUCCAGGCCAAAAUGUCAAUAGUGUGAAGGUUGAGGAACCCUGCUCUCAAGAACCUUUGAAUCAAUGAAGGAUGAGGAGUUGGGAGAGGUUACUCUCUCUAGGGAAUGGGUUACCAUACAGAAUUUCUACUUAGAAAAAAAAUCUAUAAUUAUGACAUUAUAAAUAAUCAUACUAGAAUUUGGAAAAAUUUCUUAUAAAAUGUGCUUGGCCAGGCA